rnacentral:rRNA from 1 species
UUGUUCCUACGGGGCGCAGCAGUGGGGGAUAUUGCACAAUGGAGGAAACUCUGAUGCAGCGACGCCGCGUGAGGGAAGACGGUCUUCGGAUUGUAAACCUCUGUCUUUGGGGAAGAAAAUGACGGUACCCAAAGAGGAAGCUCCGGCUAACUCCGUGCCAGCAGCCGCGGUAAUACGGAGGAUGCGAGCGUUAUCCGGAUUUAUUGGGUUUAAAGGGUGCGUAGGCGGAAUGCCAAGUCAGCGGUAAAAUCGCGGGGCUCAACCUCGCUCCGCCGUUGAGACUGGCGUUCUUGAGUGGGCGAGAA